AACGAACGCUGGCGGCAGGCCUCAUACAUGCAAGUCGAACGAGAUCUUCGGAUCUAGUGGCGGACGGGUUAGUAACGCGUGGGAACGUGCCUUUCACUACGGAAUAGUCCCGGGAAACUGGGUUUAAUACCGUAUACGCCCUUCGGGGGAAAGAAUUUCGGUGAAAGAUCGGCCCGCGUUGGAUUAGGUAGUUGGUGGGGUAAUGGCCUACCAAGCCUACGAUCCAUAGCUGGUUUGAGAGGAUGAUCAGCAACACUGGGACUGAGACACGGCCCAGACUCCUACGGGAGGCAGCAGUAGGGAAUCUUGGACAAUGGGGGAAACCCUGAUCCAGCCAUGCCGCGUGAGUGACGAAGGCCCUAGGGUCGUAAAGCUCUUUCGCCAGGGAAGAUAAUGACGGUACCUGGUAAAGAAACCCCGGCUAACUCCG
rnacentral:rRNA from 1 species